UAGACCGCCUGGGGAGUACGGCCGCAAGGUUAAAACUCAAAUGAAUUGACGGGGGCCCGCACAAGCGGUGGAGCAUGUGGUUUAAUUCGAUGCAACGCGAAGAACCUUACCUGGUCUUGACAUCCACAGAAGUUUCCAGAGAUGGAUUUGUGCCUUCGGGAACUGUGAGACAGGUGCUGCAUGGCUGUCGUCAGCUCGUGUUGUGAAAUGUUGGGUUAAGUCCCGCAACGAGCGCAACCCUUAUCCUUUGUUGCCAGCGGUUAGGCCGGGAACUCAAAGGAGACUGCCAGUGAUAAACUGGAGGAAGGUGGGGAUGACGUCAAGUCAUCAUGGCCCUUACGACCAGGGCUACACACGUGCUACAAUGGCGCAUACAAAGAGAAGCGACCUCGCGAGAGCAAGCGGACCUCAUAAAGUGCGUCGUAGUCCGGAUUGGAGUCUGCAACUCGACUCCAUGAAGUCGGAAUCGCUAGUAAUCGUGGAUCAGAAUGCCACGGUGAAUACGUUCCCGGGCCUUGUACACACCGCCCGUCACACCAUGGGAGUGGGUUGCAAAAGAAGUAGGUAGCUUAACCUUCGGGAGGGCGCUUACCACUUUGUGAUUCAUGACUGGGGUGAAGUCGUAACAAGGUAACCGUAGGGGAACCUGCGGUUGGAUCACCUCCUUACCUUAAAGAAGC
rnacentral:rRNA from 1 species